AACAUGGUGGGACCUGAUCCAGCAUACCGCGUGUGUGAAGAAGGCCUGCGGGUUGUAAAGCACUUCAAUUGUGAAGAUUGGUUACAAAGUUAAUACCUUUGUAGCCUGACGUUAACUUUAGAAGAAGCACCGGCUAACUCAGUGCCAGCAGCCGCGGUAAUACUGAGGGUGCGAGCGUUAAUCGGAAUUACUGGGCGUAAAGCGCGCGUAGGCGGUUUAUUAAGUCAGAUGUGAAAGCCCCGGGCUCAACCUGGGAACUGCAUUUGAUACUGGUAAACUAGAGUUUGGUAGAGGGUGACGGAAUUCCAGGUGUAGCGGUGAAAUGCGUAGAUAUCUGGAGGAACAUCAGUGGCGAAGGCGGUUGCCUGGACCAAAACUGACGCUGAGGUGCGAAAGCGUGGGGGAGCAAACAGGAUUAGAUACCCUGGUAGUCCACGCCGUAAAACGAUGUCAACUAGCCGUGGGGAGGGUUUGCCUCUUAGUGGCGCAGCUAACGCGAUAAGUUAACCGCCUGGGGAGUACGGUCGCAAGACUAAAACUCAAAGGAUUGACGGGGGCCGCACAAGCGGUGGAGCAUGUGGUUUAUUCGAUGCACGCGAGAACCUUACCGCCCUUGAAUCCAGAGAUUUCCAGAGAGAUAGUGCUUCGGAACUCUUGCAGUGCUGCUGCUGCGCAGCUGUGCGGGAUGUUGGUUAGUCCGAACAGGCAACCCUAUCUUAGUGCCGCACUAUGUGGAACUAGGAGACUCCGUGAAAACGAGGAAGUGGGAGAGCAGUAUCUGGCCUAUGGCGGGCUACACCUCUAAAUGGCGGACGAGGUGCACCGGGGGGACUAUCAUAAGCACGAGUCGAUGAGCGCACUGAUCUCAUCGAUCUGGACUGGUUCAUCCAGUAAGUCGGCUGCCACGC
rnacentral:rRNA from 1 species